UUUUUAUAGAAUUUAAUUUUGGUUCCGAUUGAACGUUUUUCAGUAGUUUAAGACAUGCAAAUCUUUUUUUCUCUUGCUAAAAUAUUAGAGAAAAAGGUGUAAAGGUGAGUAUAAUAAAUAAGAUACCCUAAAGUCUUCAUAAAUCGGAGAUAUUUCUUAAACUUCCUAUUAAUUACUCAAAAGGCAAAUAAUAGAGUGUUAAGAAAAGUAAAAAAUAAGCUAUUUUUAUUAAGAAAGGAAAUUUUCUGCUUUAGGAUUCUAUUUAUUUGGAUUAGGUUGUUGGUAGGGUAAAGGCCUACCAAGCCGACAAUCUGAAGCUAAGCUUGAAAGAGCCGAUGGCCACAUUGGGGUUGAAAUCUCCCAAGUAGUAUUUACUACCAGCAGUCUAGAGUAUUAGUCAAUGCUCGGAAGAGUGAACUAGCUAACUGAAAUCUUUAUUAAGAUAAGGUAAAGGAAAAUAAUGAUACUACUUUACUAUUAGUGUCGUCCAAUGCUGGUGCCAGAAGACUCGGUAACGCCAGAGACGCAAACGUUAGUCAUCUUAAACAGGCGUAAAGGGUUUGUAGGCAGCUUCCAAUAUUUUUAGUUUAGUAUAGCUCGUGAGAAUUUUAAUCCAUAUGAAUUCAAAAUAAAGUGAAGAUAGAAUCAAAUGGAGGUUAAAGUAUAUAAUACUUAGAGUAGUGUUUUAAUACGUAAAUACUAAGUAGAAUACUAAUGGCGAAGGCAGUUAACCACUAAUGAUUGACGCUGAGGAACGAAGGUGAGGAUAGGAAAUAGGAUUAGAGACCCAUGAACCCCUCACAGUAAACGAUGAAUGGUAGUUAUCAGUUUAGUUACUGGUUUCGAGGUUAACGCGUUGACCAUUCCGCCUUGUGAGUACGAUUGCAAAAUUGAAAACAAAAAAAUUAGUCGGUCUCGGAGCAAACGAAGUGAAGCAUGUUGUUUAAUACGAUAAUCCGCGUAAAAUCUUACCAGUCCUUGUAUAAAAAUUAUAAAUUUUAAUACAUUAGAAAUUAUAAGGAGUGUUUUUAUUUAAAAUGCUUCAAUACAGGUGUUGCAUGGCUGUCGUCAGUCCGUAUCGUAAGAAGUUAGGUUAACUCCACAAACGGACGAAAUCCCUGUUGUUAAUUUAUACUUAACAAAUAAGUGGGUCUGAUAGAGAUUCAUUUUGGGGCUAAGACAAGUCGUUAUGGUCCUCAUGGACUGGGCUAUAGACGUGCCACAAAAACUUUUACAAAGUGACGCAAGACCCUCUCAUAUUUAAUCUUAAGGCACAAAUUAGAUUAAUAGUUUACUUUUUUAGAAAACUGGGAAAUAAGGAGGAGCUAAUCAUUAAAGAAAGUUAAUUUACUAAAAUAUGCCGGAUUGUCACCUGAAAUUCGGUGGCAUGAAGCAGGAAUUUCGAGUAAUCGUUGAUCAUUACGCAACGGUGAAGUUUAAAAUUCGUGAUGAACUAACUGUCUGUCGCUGGGGAGGAGCUUAUAUUGAUGGAAACUGCGGUAUGGCUAAUAUUUUACAUAGGUUAUAGUUUUAAGCUAAUUUAUAGGCAAUUAUCUAUCCUUUUUUAGGGUUACUUUACUCUUAAGGUAAAACACUUAUGUUAAAUUAUCUGGCUUCAGUUAAGUCAGUUGAGUAACAUCUCAAAAGUCAUAGCAAGGUAGCUGUGCUGGAAGGUGUAGCUGGAUAAUAAAAUUU
rnacentral:rRNA from 1 species